rnacentral:rRNA from 1 species
CAGUCUGCAACUCGACUGCACGAAGCUGGAAUCGCUAGUAAUCGCGGAUCAGCACGCCGCGGUGAAUACGUUCCCGGGCCUUGUACACACCGCCCGUCACACCAUGGAAGUCUGCAAUGCCCGAAGCCGGUGGCCUAACCACUUAUGUGGAAGGAGCCGUCUAAGGCAGGGCAGAUGACUGGGGUGAAGUCGUAACAAGGUAAC